AGAGUUUGAUCCUGGCUCAGGAUGAACGCUGGCGGCGUGCCUAAUACAUGCAAGUCGAGCGAACUGAUUAGAAGCUUGCUUCUAUGACGUUAGCGGCGGACGGGUGAGUAACACGUGGGCAACCUGCCUGUAAGACUGGGAUAACUUCGGGAAACCGAAGCUAAUACCGGAUAGGAUCUUCUCCUUCAUGGGAGAUGAUUGAAAGAUGGUUUCGGCUAUCACUUACAGAUGGGCCCGCGGUGCAUUAGCUAGUUGGUGAGGUAACGGCUCACCAAGGCAACGAUGCAUAGCCGACCUGAGAGGGUGAUCGGCCACACUGGGACUGAGACACGGCCCAGACUCCUACGGGAGGCAGCAGUAGGGAAUCCUCCGCAAUGGACGAAAGUCUGACGGAGCAACGCCGCGUGAGUGAUGAAGGCUUUCGGGUCGUAAAACUCUGUUGUUAGGGAAGAACAAGUACAAGAGUAACUGCUUGUACCUUGACGGUACCUAACCAGAAAGCCACGGCUAACUACGUGCCAGCAGCCGCGGUAAUACGUAGGUGGCAAGCGUUAUCCGGAAUUAUUGGGCGUAAAGCGCGCGCAGGCGGUUUCUUAAGUCUGAUGUGAAAGCCCACGGCUCAACCGUGGAGGGUCAUUGGAAACUGGGGAACUUGAGUGCAGAAGAGAAAAGCGGAAUUCCACGUGUAGCGGUGAAAUGCGUAGAGAUGUGGAGGAACACCAGUGGCGAAGGCGGCUUUUUGGUCUGUAACUGACGCU
rnacentral:rRNA from 1 species